rnacentral:lncRNA from 1 species
GAGGCUUUGCUUGCAGAUGUUUCACAUUAUUGUCUUCUGAUUUUAUGUCUUGGUCUUCCCUGCUACUAUAGUGGCUUUUAAUGGAUAAGGAUUUUUUUUUGUUUGCUCAUAUUUCUAUUUUAUUUCUUCACUUUGAACUUUAUGUUAAAGUUGGGCUCUGCUCAUCUUGGGAUAGGGAGUCACUGUGCCAAGCUUUAACCUUUGUGCUGCUGUUUUCAGAGCUAAUUCUGGGCAUCUGUGAAUUUAUGGUGCUUUUAAGAUGAUAUGAAUCAGGGAGAGAUGUGGUCACUGCUUUCCUGGUCUAUAUUUUCUGUGCUUACAAAAGAAGGACCUCUGUUCCCCUGCAGAUGCAAGGUCUUGGAAUUGUGAUUAGGUACCCUUUUCUCUUGUGAUCACAAGUGCUAAUAUUCUUUUUUGUCCUGAAACUGCAACCAGGUUCUCUAUUCUCUUGUGACCCACCACAAUUGCUUCUCUCCAUCUGGAAUUGCAACCUAGAACUCUGUAGUACUAGCUGUACCCAAUGCCAACAAAAGGUCUUUUGUAAUCUUUUUCUGACCAGUUGUCUGGCUCCUCCUCACCAUUUCUGGUCUUAGAAUUCCUGAAAUUGCUGCUGAUCCUGCUGCUGUUGCUACAGACAUGUAUGUAUGCUCUGUAUAGGUCUCCAUCAAUGUUAUAGACUUCUCCUGUCAAGCUUCUAAAUAUUUUUAGGCUGGAAAAAUGUCUCAUUCAGACUUUUGUUGGCUCUGUUACUCCCAAUAAUUGAUUUGAGGCAUUCUUUUAAAGUUGUAUGGAGUAGAAUGUUGGGAGUUCACCUGGGUUGCUAUCUCCAAUCAACCAUCUUGUUCUCCUUUGAAGCAUUUUGUUGCUUCCAAACAUUUCUUUAUUACUUCAAGAUAUUUGGGGAUUUGGCCUGCUUUCCUCUAUGUAGCAGAAGCAGAAAUUUCUGGUCUUGUGACUCUUUGAAUCCCUUCUUUGUUUUUUUAUUGUGUUUUUUUUUCUCAUUUUUGCAGCAACUGAAGGAAUUAUAUUACAAUUUUCUGCACAAAUUAACUUGGUUUUCAGGAAAAGCAAUUUGGUAUAAAAUCAGCAGUCAGUGGUUAUGACUGCAACUCAAUGAACUGUCCAAGUGUUCUAAAAUAAUGCAUGAAAUGCCUCAAAGAUGCUUGAAUUUGUUGACAUAGAGCUCUUUAAAUAAUCUGUUGAAUCAUCUGAAUGAAAUUCAUCAAAUGAGUAUCAACCCCCUCCUCUUUCUCUUUUGGUUCAGGGAGCUUCUCGAGGAAUUCACUGGGGUUGAUUCUUUUGCCAAGUGCAAUCUGUGACUCCCACAGCACACUAAUUAUUCAGAUCAAUUGGGGACUUAAUAAUCCAGCUAAAAGAGUUUUUUGGAUAACUGACUGUGUCAGCAAGGAAUGAGGAAGCUGAAUAUCUAUGGUUGGAAACUCCUCAACCAUACUAGUUUUUGCCACUAGGGCUUAGCUACUCUCCUGAAAGGAAGAACCCAUGAUAUUAAUCAGGUUCGAUGGCCUUUGGUUAAUUAACGUUUACAUUGGAAAGGGAUGGUUUUAAGAUGAUAUGAAUUUUUCUCUUUACUUUUCAGUGAUGACUAGAUCAUCUUUUUUUCUUUCUUUAAUAAUUUAGCUUUGCAUUGUCAUUCUGCUUCUUUCUCAUUAAAAUAAAAGUAACAAGUAACAAGAAUAUUCUAUUCUACUCUUGCAGAAAGCUCAAUCUAAUAAUAAGACAGCAAGCAGGUACAACAGGAUUUCCUGUCUGAGAACUGAUGAGGUGUGAUAAGGAAAGAGUAUAAAUGCAGAGCAACACCAAAGGCAGCAGAAAUUAGUAUCUAAGAAGACUUUGGUGAAGUCCCAAUUUUUCCAUAUACUGCCUGUCACUAAGGAGAGAUCAUUUAACCUCUUGGUGCUCCCAGAUAAUGCUUUAAGACAAGUUAUAAACUGGCACUGAUUCUCAUUGGUGGCAGGAGUUUCCAUAAUGAAAAUUCUACAACACAACGAGAUUAACAACAAUAAAAAUAGAACAAGUCAAACUUAAUAAUUUAUACAUUUUUGGACUCCUAAGCAUGAGAAAUUGGAUGCUUUUUCUCCCUACCCUUUAAACUUUUCUUCUAAAUGAAUUAUUUAUACAUAAAUUCCUAAGAAUCAAAAUGAAACUGAAAUCUUAUAUAGCACACAUGUGUUUGUGAUAUAUGUGGGCUACAGGGAAUGUCUUGGUUUCUGCCAAGAAGUGUUAUGGACUUAGGUAGGUAGACUUUAAAGUGAGUUAGGUCAUCCCAUGUCACACCAUUAGGGGCUAGAAUCAAUCUCACUCCUACUAUAGGAUAUGUGUGAGCAAUGUGCAAUCUUUUCUUGUGUUUUUCUAUUAAAGUAUCUUGAAUGUAAGAAAAAUAAGCCUUUUUAGCUAUUUAAAUAUUUUACCUUAUUUAAUAUCAGUAUGCCAUCAGUAUGCCCAAAAACUACUGUUCCCACCUUAAAGUAAAAAAUAAAUUAGUUUUAAGGAAGAAUACAUGGCAUAUUUAAGGAGUAUCCAAUGGUAAAUCAUUCUUUUUUUUUUUUUAAAGUGGAUUUAAAACUGUUAUAAUAGAUUUAAAAAUUAAUUUGGAACUUCUGUCUAGAGCUGUGGAGUUUAAGAUUUCUUCACUUGUAUUGUUCCACUUUUCCCUCUUUGUGAAGUGAAAGUAACUAAGUGUCUCAUACUUCUUGCGACAGUAUUGUUUUUUUGUCAAUUUUGUUAAAUGUAUAAUGGCUUUUUAAGACAUGUAACCAUG